rnacentral:rRNA from 1 species
AACUAACAAGGGAUUCCCCUAGUAGCGGCGAGCGAAGCGGGAAGAGCUCAAAUUUAUAAUCUGGCACCUUCGGUGUCCGAGUUGUAAUCUCUAGAAAUGUUUUCCGCGCUGGACCGCACACAAGUCUGUUGGAAUACAGCGGCAUAGUGGUGAGACCCCCGUAUAUGGUGCGGACGCCCAGCGCUUUGUGAUACAUUUUCGAAGAGUCGAGUUGUUUGGGAAUGCAGCUCAAAUUGGGUGGUAAAUUCCAUCUAAAGCUAAAUAUUGGCGAGAGACCGAUAGCGAACAAGUACCGUGAGGGAAAGAUGAAAAGCACUUUGGAAAGAGAGUUAACAGUACGUGAAAUUGUUGGAAGGGAAACGCUUGAAGUCAGACUUGCUUGCCGAGCAAUCGGUUUGCAGGCCAGCAUCAGUUUUCCGGGAUGGAUAAUGGUAGAGAGAAGGUAGCAGUUUCGGCUGUGUUAUAGCUCUCUGCUGGAUACAUCUUGGGGGACUGAGGAACGCAGUGUGCCUUUGGCGGGGGUUUCGACCUCUUCACACUUAGGAUGCUGGUGGAAUGGCUUUAA